rnacentral:rRNA from 1 species
CAUUAUCGAAAUAAACUUGAACAGGCUGUUGCUGGUUCCUUUCAGGAGGGGCAUGUGCACGCUUGUCAUCUUUAUCAUUUCUCCAACUGUGCACAUAACUGUAGACCUGGGGGCUUUCUUUUUGGAACUCGUUCCGAGUCGGGACUGCUGUGCUUCAUCCGAGAGGUCGGCUUUGCCCUUUGCAUUUUCCAGGUCUAUGUCAUUUAUUUCACAACCUCUGUGUAAAAUGGUUUAGAAUGAUUGAACAAUAUAAAAAAAGUUAAUACAACUUUCAGCAACGGAUCUCUUGGCUCUCGCAUCGAUGAAGAACGCAGCGAAAUGCGAUAAGUAAUGUGAAUUGCAGAAUUCAGUGAAUCAUCGAAUCUUUGAACGCAUCUUGCGCUCCUUGGUAUUCCGAGGAGCAUGCCUGUUUGAGUGUCAUUCGACUUGUCAACCACAUCAAUUGCGAUGUGGCUUGGAUGUGGGGGUUCUUGCAGGCUCUCUCUUUCAUGAGGUCUGCUCCCCUGAAAUGCAUUAGUGGUAUCUGAGCAGAACUACUACCGUCAGGUGUGAUAAAUUAUCUAUGCCUUUGGGUAUGCUGCAUGAACAGAUUGUGCCGCUCAUAAUGAUUGUUUGACGAAUUUGACCUCAAAUCAGGUAGGACUACCCGCUGAACUUAAGCAUAUCAAUAAGCGGAG